rnacentral:rRNA from 1 species
AUAGAAAAAAUUAUUUGAAAAUAAAAAUAAAAAUAUUUUUUUAUUUAUUAAAGGUUAGAAAAAUUUUGUUUUAUUAUAGUUUAAUAGUAUUGUGAAAGAAUUUAGUAUUUUAUAUGUAUAGAAGAAAAACUUAUUGUACCUUGUGUAUCAGGGCUUAUUAAUUAAAAGAUAAAGAUUUAUUUUUCUCGAUUUAGAAAGAGUUAACUUUGUAUUUAUUUUAUUGUUGAAUAAAUAUUUAGAAUAUAAAGUUGGAAGUUAAAUGUUAUUCGAUUUUUAAUAUAUCUAGUUAUUAAAGAAAAAAGUUUAAUUUUAUUUAUAUUUUUUAAUUUUAUAUAUUUGAAUUUAAUUGGAAAGUAUAAAUUAUAGUUUUAGGGAUAAGCUUAAAAUUAAACCAUUAAAAGUUAUGAAUUAUAAAUAAAAGUUGAUAGGAUUAGAAAUUUUCAUUUUAUUUUGUUAUAACAAAUUUUUAUUUAAUUAUAAUUUAUAUUUACUUUAAUUAUUUUAUUUAAUUAAAUUAUUUAAUUUAUAUUAGUUGAAAUUAUGAUAGGAUUAGUAUAAUAUUAUGUAAUUUUUUUUAUAAAAUUUAGAUUAAUUAAAGGAAUUCGGCAAAAUUAUUUUUCUGCCUGUUUAAUAAAAACAUGUCUUUUUGAUUUUAAUUUAAAGUCUGACCUGCCCACUGAAAAUUUUAAAGGGCCGCAGUAUUUUGACUGUGCAAAGGUAGCAUAAUCAAUAGUUUUUUAAUUGAAAGCUGGAAUGAAUGGUUUGACAAGAAAAUAACUGUCUCUUUUUAAAAUUUAUUAGAAUUUUAUUAUUAAGUUAAAAAGCUUAAAUAUGUUUAAAAGACGAGAAGACCCUAUAGAAUUUUAUUUUAAUAUCAAUAAAAAAUUUUUUAGAUUGUUUAAUAUUUUUAUUAUUAUUAAAAUUUUGUUGGGGUGAUAGAAAAAUUUAAAUAACUUUUUUAUUUUUAGUUCAUUAAUUAUUGUAUUUUUGAUCCAUUUUUUAUGAUUAUUAGAUUAAAUUACCUUAGGGAUAACAGCGUAAUUUUUUUUGAGAGUUCUUAUUAAAAGAAAAGUUUGCGACCUCGAUGUUGGAUUAAAAUUAAGUUUUGGUGUAGAGGCUAAAAUUUUAGGUCUGUUCGACCUUUAAAAUUUUACAUGAUCUGAGUUUAAACCGGUGUGAGCCAGGUUGGUUUCUAUCUUUAAAAAAAAUUAAUAGUUUAGUACGAAAGGACCAAUUAUUAUUAAAAUUUAUUUUUAUUGAUUAUUAUUA